rnacentral:rRNA from 1 species
UUAAAUUGAAGAGUUUGAUCAUGGCUCAGAUUGAACGCUGGCGGCAGGCCUAACACAUGCAAGUCGAACGGUAACAGGAAACAGCUUGCUGUUUCGCUGACGAGUGGCGGACGGGUGAGUAAUGUCUGGGAAACUGCCUGAUGGAGGGGGAUAACUACUGGAAACGGUAGCUAAUACCGCAUAACGUCGCAAGACCAAAGAGGGGGACCUUCGGGCCUCUUGCCAUCGGAUGUGCCCAGAUGGGAUUAGCUAGUAGGUGGGGUAACGGCUCACCUAGGCGACGAUCCCUAGCUGGUCUGAGAGGAUGACCAGCCACACUGGAACUGAGACACGGUCCAGACUCCUACGGGAGGCAGCAGUGGGGAAUAUUGCACAAUGGGCGCAAGCCUGAUGCAGCCAUGCCGCGUGUAUGAAGAAGGCCUUCGGGUUGUAAAGUACUUUCAGCGGGGAGGAAGGGAGUAAAGUUAAUACCUUUGCUCAUUGACGUUACCCGCAGAAGAAGCACCGGCUAACUCCGUGCCAGCAGCCGCGGUAAUACGGAGGGUGCAAGCGUUAAUCGGAAUUACUGGGCGUAAAGCGCAC